rnacentral:rRNA from 1 species
CGGCCGAUCCAGGUCGACUGAGCUUGAAUCGAAUUCGCGUGUCGCCCUUAGAGUUUGAUCCUGGCUCAGGACGAACGCUGGCGGCGUGCUUAACACAUGCAAGUCGAACGAUGAAGCCCUUCGGGGUGGAUUAGUGGCGAACGGGUGAGUAACACGUGGGCAAUCUGCCCUUCACUCUGGGACAAGCCCUGGAAACGGGGUCUAAUACCGGAUACGACUGCGGGAGGCAUCUCCUGUGGUGGAAAGCUCCGGCGGUGAAGGAUGAGCCCGCGGCCUAUCAGCUUGUUGGUGGGGUAAUGGCCUACCAAGGCGACGACGGGUAGCCGGCCUGAGAGGGCGACCGGCCACACUGGGACUGAGACACGGCCCAGACUCCUACGGGAGGCAGCAGUGGGGAAUAUUGCACAAUGGGCGAAAGCCUGAUGCAGCGACGCCGCGUGAGGGAUGACGGCCUUCGGGUUGUAAACCUCUUUCAGCAGGGAAGAAGCGAGAGUGACGGUACCUGCAGAAGAAGCGCCGGCUAACUACGUGCCAGCAGCCGCGGUAAUACGUAGGGCGCAAGCGUUGUCCGGAAUUAUUGGGCGUAAAGAGCUCGUAGGCGGCUUGUCACGUCGGAUGUGAAAGCCCGAGGCUUAACCUCGGGUCUGCAUUCGAUACGGGCUGGCUAGAGUGUGGUAGGGGAGAUCGGAAUUCCUGGUGUAGCGGUGAAAUGCGCAGAUAUCAGGAGGAACACCGGUGGCGAAGGCGGAUCUCUGGGCCAUUACUGACGCUGAGGAGCGAAAGCGUGGGGAGCGAACAGGAUUAGAUACCCUGGUAGUCCACGCCGUAAACGUUGGGAACUAGGUGUUGGCGACAUUCCACGUCGUCGGUGCCGCAGCUAACGCAUUAAGUUCCCCGCCUGGGGAGUACGGCCGCAAGGUUAAAACUCAAAGGAAUUGACGGGGGCCCGC